AUUGGUGAAAAUUAUCGCAAUGGAAAUCCAAGCAGCACCGCCAUUGUUGCUAUAGAUCCCAUGGAUAUGACAGAAAGCAUGCAAGAGGCUAUGCAUAGGUCAAACUGGGACAUGAGUGGCGCCGAGUAUGUGAGGAAAGAAGUGCCCCUGUAUGUGUUACCCAGCUCCUCUCUCCUCAAUGUUGUUUCACCUCUAACUUCAUUUACGGACCUGCAACGUGUCAUUUAUGAAGAGGAAAGGGCAGCAUAUGUUGAAACCAUCAGACAAAAUAUGAUGGAUGGGAAAGCACAUCCGCUUACUUUUAUUCAUCACACCUCAACGUAUCAGGCUUCCAUGUGCAAGUUAACAGAAUACUGGCGAGAAUCUAUUACCUUUGAUGCCCAUUGAUUUUGUGUCACUGUUGAUUUGUACUGAAUGCACAUCUCUUUUUCGUUGGUUUUUUUUUUUUUGCAGUUUAAGCCCUGACAUUAGAGUAUUUCAGGAUCGUGUGAUAGAGAACGAGAUUUGGGUAAAUAACUAACCUACAUUCAGAUAUUAUGGGACAGUGAGGAUCAGUCAACAGUCUUGCUGAAAAACCUCAAAUACUGAAGCUGGUGGAUGAAGCAAAGAGUUUGGAGAUGGAGGUCCAGAGAGGGCGUGAUUCGAGUUCAGGUCACCGGGGAAGUGUAUAUGGUCAGAGAAGCGGGCCUAGUCCAUCGGAGUCAAGCAAUAUAAGGAGCAUCAUCAGUAGCCCCGGCAGCCGAAGCAGGAAAUGGCCCCAGUGAAUUGCUAAGCUAGCCUAAUCUUUAGUGCAUUCUGCAAGGUGUCGUGUCCGGGUGAUGUAUUUGCUUGCCCCGAUUUGGUUUUGCAAUCUUUUGAACCAUCCGUGGGAAGUGUAAGAUGUGAGGUUUGUUCGCGGUCCCUGUUCUUCAUCUGUAAAUCGCGUGGUCCAUUUUGGUCGGCCAUUAUACAUACAUUAGCGAAAAGGCGGACUUUCCGCAGCCACAUUGUAAUUGUUUAUCCGGCAUCAUUACUACAUGCUAGACGUGCAGACAUUCCAGACCUGGGGCAGCUGCAGAUGAAAAGCUCGAACUAGGAAAUUAGGAACAGUGGAAUCUCUUGUAAUCCUCAUCAUGAAAAGGAGCCUGAUGGCCAGUGACAUGAACCUUGAGCUGUGUGAUGAAUCUGUCGUUUGAGCUUUUGGUACAUCCACGCAAUUCACCAAA